rnacentral:rRNA from 1 species
UACGGAGGGUGCAAGCGUUAUCCGGAUUCACUGGGUUUAAAGGGUGCGUAGGAGGGUAGGUAAGUCAGUGGUGAAAUCCCCGGGCUCAACCUGGGAAUGGCAAUGGAUACUGGCGAGCUAGAGUGUGUCAGAGGAUGGUGGAAUUCCCGGUGUAGCGGUGAAAUGCGUAGAGAUGUGGAGGAACACCAGUGGCGAAGGCGACUCUUUGGCCUGUAACUGACACUGAGGCGCGAAAGCGUGGGGAGCAAACAGG